rnacentral:rRNA from 1 species
AGUUUGAUCCUGGCUCAGGAUGAACGCUGGCGGCGUGCUUAACACAUGCAAGUCGAACGGGGAUUACACGGAGAUGCGAUUUCGGUCAAAUCAAGUGCAAUCUAGUGGCGGACGGGUGAGUAACGCGUGGGUAACCUGCCUUGCACUGGGGGAUAACACUUAGAAAUAGGUGCUAAUACCGCAUAAGCGCACGGUCCUGCAUGGGACAGUGUGAAAAACUCCGGUGGUGCAAGAUGGACCCGCGUCUGAUUAGCUGGUUGGCGGGGUAAAGGCCCACCAAGGCGACGAUCAGUAGCCGGCCUGAGAGGGUGGACGGCCACAUUGGGACUGAGACACGGCCCAAACUCCUACGGGAGGCAGCAGUGGGGGAUAUUGGACAAUGGGGGGGAACCCUGAUCCAGCGACGCCGCGUGAGUGAAGAAGUAUUUCGGUAUGUAAAGCUCUGUCAGCAGGGAAGAAAGCAAUGACGGUACCUGACCAAGAAGCCCCGGCUAACUACGUG